rnacentral:tRNA from 1 species
ACCUGGGUGGCUCAGUCGAUUAAGCAUCUGACUUCGGCUCAGGUCAUGAUCUCGUGGCUUGUGGGUUCAAGCCCCAUAUCAGGCU